UUAGGUUAAGUUAUGAAGGGCGCAUGGUGAAUGCCUUGGUACUAGGAGCCGAUGAAGGACGGGACUAACACCGAUAUGCUUCGGGGAGCGGUAAGUACGCUUUGAUCCGGAGAUUUCCGAAUGGGGCAACCCAAUCAGCUUAGUCGCUGAUUACUUGACUAGUGAAUACAUAGCUAGCAAGAGGUAGACGCAGUGAACUGAAACAUCUUAGUAGCUGCAGGAAGAGAAAGAAACAUCGAUUCCCUGAGUAGCGGCGAGCGAAAAGGGAA
rnacentral:rRNA from 1 species